GGCAGGCUCUGCCUUACUCUAUCCAAAUUGGAAAGCAAGAUCUGUUGUAUGGAACUACUGAAAACUGAACAACCGAUACCGAGAACACCGCCACGCAGCAGACUGGCCUCGGUCGGCUCUGCCUCAAUGUACCGAAACUGCUGAGCAAUUUACCAUUUGUAAGAAUGAAAACCUGUCAUCGAGAAACCUUGAGAGACAACGAGAUGGAACUCCCUUACUACUUGGUAAAUGUUCCUAUUGGGACUCCUGUUUGUGCCUCGGAGCCAAAUAUCCGGUGUGUGAGGGUGGGGGAGGCUCGGGAGGCCUGGCAGAGAAGAGCAGCUGCAGAGCCCAGGCCUAGAGGGGUCCCGACCACGGAAUUGCUGCAGCCUUGGUCAAUGCCCUGCUUACUGCCCCUGGGACAGGUCUCCUCAGGUGAUGAGUGUAUUUCCCUCGAGGAAGCACUUCCCAGCCUGGCUCAGGGCUCUGUGGGUGGGCUCACCCUGGCAAAGGGAUUCUAGCAGAGUGCAGUGGGAGCCUGGCAGCUGGGCUCCUGCCUUCAGUCCUGACAGCCCGAAGCCAGAGGCUGUGCUGGGAGAGGAGGAACCCCCGCGAGGACCUUCUCAGCUUGUGCUGCAGCAGCCCCCUCCCCUCUUGCCCCCCCUCCCCCCGAUCUGGGAUCCCAAGCAGGGCGCCCCACAGCAGGAAGCCCAGACCCCUGUCCCAGAGCAUACUGGCCAGAGAGGUCAGCCUGCUUGCUGCCCACAGUUAGUGGAGGCGAUGCCCAGUUUUCUCUGCUCUCCUGGAAUGGCUUCACUGCCCAGUCUCAUCUCCUUCCCACCUGGCUGCCUGCCCUGCAGUCCUGGACCCCAGGGAGCCUUAGAGAACAGAGACUCCCUGGGGCUCCUGCUCCCUGCAAAUCCUGCUUGCUUACUCAAUGCCUUCAAUUUCAAAAUAAAAACUCACUGAGAACUGCA